UACGUAGGGUGCGAGCGUUAAUCGGAAUUACUGGGCGUAAAGCGUGCGCAGGCGGCGCGUUAAGACAGGUGUGAAAGCCCCGAGCUUAACUUGGGAAUUGCGCUUGUGACUGGCGUGCUGGAGUGUGGCAGAGGGAGGUGGAAUUCCACGUGUAGCAGUGAAAUGUGUAGAUAUGCGGAGGAACACCGAUGGCGAAGGCAAUCCCCUGGGCCUGCACUGACGCUCAUGCACGAAAGCGUGGGGAGCAAACAGG
rnacentral:rRNA from 1 species